GGAGUUGGUGAGAGAGCUGGUUACCAUGCCGUCCAGAGACAGAGUCAAAGCUGUACGAGGCCUUCCUGUAAGUCUGGGGGAGCGCAGAAACAUCAGGUGCCGUGUCUUAGCAGAGAAGUUCUCCACGAGGAGUCUAGAGAGAACAAGCUGCACUGACUGUUGGGAGCAGAUCUCACUGUCUGUUCGUAGGUGCAGCAGUGUGGUGUUUUUCAGACAGUCUCUCUCUCUGUGGCGCGGUUCUCUGAGGGAGAUCAGUGGAAGGUUUGGUUCUGCUGUCCUCUGCUACUUCCUGUUUCUAAGAUGGCUGCUCCUCUUCAACCUCCUCUCCUCCCUCCUCAACCUCUCCUUCAUCACGUUGCCGUGGGCGAUGCUUAGCACCGACACUCAGGGCGCCGGGGCAACUGCCGGGUUCAGGGGACUGGAGCUCCUCACUGGAGUGGGGUGGUUCAACGUGUCCAUGCUGUACUAUGGUGUCUACAGCAGUAACAGUGUGCUGUCUAGUUAUAACAUCCAGCUAGCUUACCUCUUUACCAUCACCUCCUACAUGCUGCUCUGUGGAGCUUCAGUCAU